GCUGCUGGUCUACACCACAGCCCCAGCAACAUGGGAUCCGAUCUGCAUCUGCAACCUAUACCACAGCUCAAGGCAACACCAGACCCCUGGCCCACUGAGCAAGGCCAGGGACCGAAUCCGCAUCCUCAUAGAGAUGAGUUUCUGCUGCGUCACCACAGGAAUGCCUGUUUAUUUUUUUAGCUAAGCCUUUUUCUGGGAAGGGCUAGCUGAUGCAUCACUGUUAGCUCCAUAGGAAUUGUAGGAAGGACUUGAGAAAACAUUUUCCACUGUGAGGAAGCGUGACAGAAUUGCAUGGACAGGUGAAAAACAUUUACAGGUAAGGGGCUUGAAAAAUGGCUUUGCCGUGGUGCAGUGACCUGGGAAACCAGGCCCUCUCAUCUGUGCCUGGUAGCCCCCAGUGCUUGUGUAAAAAUAGGGUGGUAGGACAGGUGUACUAGCCCUGGUCUAAAAGCUCCAUGAAUCGCCAAGCAGGGCCAAGCUUUCCCGUUGGCUCCGGGUGCUCAGUACAUCUCUGUGCAGGAAGAUACUGUCUGAAAAAGCAACCUGAACCAUUCUCUCUGCCUGGCAGAGGGAUCGCCAGCCCCGCUGUCACCCCUGGGGAGUGAGGGGACAAAAAAGGAGAGAGGACCGAUGACCAUUAACAUUCGAUACCCAGAACCCUCUGUGGGUCUAGCUGCAUGAUGUCCUUGAGUCUCUGGGUGUGGCUGACAGGUGGACUCGGAGAGCUCCUUCUCACCAGACUCUAAGUCUCACAACUGAGGUGACAUGUGUGGCCUGUGAAUGCAUUAGGGGCUAACGUGUCAGAACUAAGGUCUCAAAGUGUUGGCUUAUGGGAGUUCUCUUCAUAGCUCAGUGGUUAACCCGACCAGGAUCCAUGAGAAUUUGGGUUCCAUCGCUGGCCUCGCUCAGUGGGUUAAGGAUCCAGCAUUACCACGAGCUGUGGUGUAGGUUGCAGAUGCAGCUUGGAUCCUGAGUUGCCACGGCUGUGGCGUAGGCCAGCAGCUAUACUCUGAUUAGACCCUUAGCCUGGGAACCUCCAUAUGCUGCAGGUGUGGCCCUAAAAAGCAGAAGAAAAAAAAAAGUGUUGGCUUAUACAAAACCAUCUUAAAAGAAGUAUUUGGUUCUAUUUGGUGUUUGUAAGAGUAAUAUUGGUAUCAGCUUAGGUAGGGUUUGCUGUGUGCCAGGCCCUCUUCUAGUCACAUGUAUGUUACAUAUUUAUACAGACAAAAGUGUUUUACAAAAUCUACAUAUUUACAUUUCAAAUUAUAUAUUAAAAUUGAUGUAUAUCUUUUAUUCCUCACAUGAGCCUUAUGACAUAGGCACUCAUGUGUUUUUCGGGGGAGGCAAGUGAGACGUGAAGUGAUUCAGUGAGGUGUCCAGGAUAAAUGGUACACCUGAGACUCUCAAACCCAGCUGAUCUGUUGCUGGAGCCAGUGCUGCUAACGAUUGUGUUGUUUCUAGAUUUGUUCGAGCCAAUUUUAUUUAUUUAUUUUUUUUGGCUUUUUAGGACCGUACCUGAGGCAUAUGGACGUUCCCAGGCUAGGGGUUGAAUCACCUGUCGGAGCAGAGCCACAGCAGUACCGGAUCCGAGCCAUACCUGCCACCCGCACCACUGCUCACAGCAAUGCUGGAUCCUUAACCCACUGGGUGAGGCCAGGGAUCAAACCCACGUCCUCAUGGAUACUAGUCAGGUUUGUAAUCUGCUGGGCCACAGUGGAAACUCCUGAGCCAAUAUUUUUUUUUAAAGAAUUAUUUAUUUUGAGCCAAAUUAUUUUAAUCGGGAGAUUUCAUACCACAAUCUGGAGCCAGCUUCUCUUGACAGGUCAGAAGAAUUGGGGACCCUGGGCUGUCCCCCUUGGGGGAGCAACUGGCUGGUGCCCAGUCAGCCCCCCCCGCCACCCCUCCUGCUGCCUCUUGUUCCUGGCUCCGAGUCCCUGCUCACUUGACCCGGUUCCCGUACCUAUUUGUACCUGCAGACAUUUCUGUUUUCAACCUCUGGGUUAAGCUUGAAAAUAUUUGUAGAUAUGACAUGUGUCCCAGUGUCAGGCCCUUGUCCUCCAGGAUGGCACGUAUUUUCAGCCUCAUUUUCCCUGUGAGGUCAUCACGCAGAGUGACCCAGUGAGCUCUGCUCCACAUCUGUGCUUGGUUCCUGUAUCAUUCCUUCUCACCUUGGGGUCUGGGGCUUCCUCUGACCCUGUUAGGGAUUCUCUGCAAAAGCUGAUAAUUAGAGCAGAACGUGUGGGACUGAAGCAGCUGAGUGUGAAAAGGCUAACAGCCCAGGUGUGUUUUUGCCUGUGCACAGACUAGGCAGCUACAGAGCAUGGUCGGCUCUCUACAACUAUUGAGUGGAAAAUAGACCAGAAAGUUAUAUACUUCUUUUUUCUUUUUUCUUUCGUCUUUUGAGGGCCACACCCAAGGCAUGUAGAGGUUUCCAGGCUAGGGGUCCAAUUGGAGCUCUUACUGCCAGCCUACACCACAACCACAGUAAUGCCAGAUCUGAGCCGAGUAUGCAACCUACACCACAGCUCACGGCAACGCCAGAUCCUUAACCCACUGAGCGAGGCCAGGGAUCGAACCCACAACCUCAUGGUUCCUAGUUGGAUUCAUUUCCACUGUGCCACAACGGGAAUUCCAAUGUAUACAUUUUUAAAUGUUUUAUUUACUGAGCUCCCCCUUCCCCCUCCUUAUUACUAGAGGAAAUAACCAUGCUUUUUCUAGCCUGUAAUCCAGGAUGAUUUGUCAUUGUUGUUGUUAAGAAAAUGCAGUGUGGCCCAUUUUCUCAAGCAAGUUGGUUUUAAGAUGCCCAGAAUUCUCUGCAGGUGUCUGGAGAGUUGGAGCAAAAGCACUCGCUAUCAAGAGCCACUGAGAAGGGAGGUUUGGGCUUGGUAAUUGUCUCAGCAGGUGGUUGGGGGUCCUUGACCUUCAAGAAACUUUUGUGUUGCCAGCUGUACCAGGGGGCUCAGGGGCUUAGUCUUCCCUCAUGGGAGCAGGUUUUCUUGUUACCUAUUAUAAGGCUGAAACCACCAUGUGAGGGUUUUUUGCACAGCCCCGUCUGCUUCCCGGUCUCAAUGUGCUGUGUUUGUUUUGUCCCCCCUCCGUGACCCUCAUUCCACAGAAGUUGUGUAUCUGGAAGAGUGACUUCCCUUUGGUCGUAGCCGCACGUGGGCUGGGUAAUCUGUAAAAUUCGGAUCGUGUUCAGUCAAUGCCAUGGUCAUUGACCGUGUAACUCAGGCAAGGCAGUGGGCUGGACUGCUACGUGGAAACACAGGCCACUAAGAGGUGGUCUGUGUCUUAAGGGACCCAGUUGGGGCAUAUAAAGCAAAAGCCUACAGGAGUGUAAUAGCUGUAGGAAAUGAAAACGUGAAUCAGAGGAGGAAGGGGGAAUACGCAGCCGUGAUGAAUUUCCAAGUGCAGGCCAAGAAGGGAGGUGAGCUAGAGAAAGUCUGGGUUCUCUUUGAUAAGAUUCCUUCCUGGAGAAGCUGGGGAGCCCGGAGUGAGUGUGCACAGCACAAUGAGAGGGACGCUUGGAAGGGGAACAAAGCUGCUUGUGUAAGUGCGACGGGGGAUGCUAGCCUCUUCAGCCGAGUCUGGAAAUUCAUUCUGUAACAAAGAGCUGUCAUUCCAAGUCAAUGACACCUUCUAAAUCCUCUCAGACUGUGCCCAAAAUUACAGAGAAGAAAUGGCAGGUCGAUUCCAUUUGGCCAGAACUGGGUAGCUGUGUACUUCGCUCACAUACCUAGAUCUAACGGAGAUGAGACAGAGUGGCCAGGCGAUAAAGCGAGUCAGUCCAGGAUGGGGAGGAGGCUGAUGCAGAACAGAUAACGAAGGGGCGAGAUUUGAAAGCAUGGCGUCUAAGUCUUGCUGUGUAAUGAACAGAGGAGAGUGGAGGGCUGAGAUCUGAGACCCCAGUGCACCUGUGUCUGGAGCUCCCCUGCCAGCAGCUUGGCUUCAGCUCUGGGAAAUGUGGGUGAGCUCCCUGGGAACCUGACUGCCUCGGGCCACCUUGACUGCUUGUUGAAAAGAGCCAAAGGCCAGUAUUUCCUCUAAAGGUCAUAGAUAGGUGGCCUGG
rnacentral:lncRNA from 1 species